rnacentral:lncRNA from 1 species
UGUAUCCCCCAAUAAGAUGCUCGGAUUUUAUUUCUCAGCCUGUGCAAGAUAUUCGUAUAGGCAUGCAGCUCUUGAGUAUUUUUAUAGUUUAUGAACACAACAACGUUAGCGCCACGUAGUGGAACUAAAAAACGGGAACAAAUCGCGUACAAUUUUUUGUAGUGGGUGUAUAGCUAUAAAACGAAGAAGAAGAAAAAGAAUUUUAUAUUGAAUCCCGGUGCAGACUUGCAAAAAAAUGCGCGUGAAAGGGACAACCUUUGAUCUUCAAAGUUCAAAAGAGCAACUUUAGUUCUAUUUACUGGCUGUAUUUAUAAUGUAUUGAAUAUUUUUACGUAGACAAAUUUUCAUAAGUAUUAUCGUAACUAUAAGACUGACGCUUAGUACAAUUACGUACAUAUCAGUAUUUUCAUGAGUAAGUGAGGGGUUUAAAAAUAAAAUGAGAACCAAUGAUAA